GUCGUAAACUGAGCAGAAAACAAAUAAACCACAGCACGCUCAGGUUACACCAGGCCAGAAGUGUGACAGGGUGGGAAACCUUCACGCGUGAGCCCGUCCACACAGAGAGCAGGGAGGAGCGUUCAGUUUCCGCGUAGCGCAAGACCCAGCCGCAAAGGUAAAGUUGCACUUGUCCUUCAGAGCAAGUCGGGGGCAGGUGAAAAGAAAGCAGCACGCCAAAAAGACCACAGAAAACGUGUUUUUAAAGAGCCACAGCCGGUCAAAGAACAUAGGUGGGACUUCACAUCAUUUAGGUUUAAGAGGCACUGUGUUAAGUCUGAGGUAUGGCCAGCUUUAAGGCGAUAAAAAGCUGUUUCAUCGCGAUAGGUUUUGACUAAGAGGAGAGCCCAAAGACAGAAAAGACGUUAAAGCUAGCCAGACCUCCCUAGAUCCCUCCAAGUGCUUUCAGUCAGAAGGCUAUUGGGUUAAGCAGAGGGAAGACUACUUGGGUGAAAGGUACUAGCUAAUCACACACAAGUCAGUCAGCCUCUGCUAGUAACAGUUCUAGUCUGUUACCUGUUCGCCCGUUAAUCCCCUAACCUGCCUGCUGUCACAAAGCCAAGUUCUUACCAUGGUUUUCAGAGCACCCCAUAAAAUACAAAUAAUUUUAAAACUAAGGCCAGAAGUAUUUGUCAGGCAGCUAGUGUUUGUAACAUAUUAGCAGAAACUGACCUUUAGGAAGACACAUUUUUUCUUCUCUGCCAACACAAUUCUUGGAGAUGUUUCCCAAGGAAGCAGGCUGCCCACGAUCUGUGUGUAUAACUGCAACUAAGUUUCUCAGCUCUCCCUUCUACCAAAGCUCUUGAGCCUGCUAACUAGAGGAAUAGAUUCCUUCUAAGGCUUUACACUUAAUGAAAUUAAGACAAGUGGGCAGGUGAGGGACUCUUGAAUCCCUUGAGUAAGAAAGCUCAAGCUUUGGCAACUGCUUUAGGUCUUAGCAAAUACAAAUGGGACCUCAAGGUCCACACGACCACGUUUCCUCACUUCUGCUUGUUUCAUUAGAAUUCAAGUUCUCUAUUAUGCUUGAAGCAGAAGCAGCAACCUGAUCUUAAAUGGAUGAAAUGGUGUUCUUUCAUUUAACUCAAGGCUUUGUGUCUUGUAGGUUUAAGCACUCAUCAUAGUUCCUUUAAGGAUUAGUUUGCAGAAGAAAAAAAAUGCACCGCCAAACUUGAGAGGCCUAAGUAGCAACCAUGAAAAUGGCUGCUUUAUUGCUUUACAUGUGAAGCUUACCUUUAACAUUACCUUUAAUACUCAAAUCAAUGGAAAUCUAAACCUAGAAAGACAACUAGAGAGUUCCACAGCUUAGUUUUGUGACUCUACAUGCAACUCUAAAGAAAGAGCAUGCUAAAUUCAACGUAUUCACCACAAAUUAUACAGUUUUAUAACUAACAUAUUCAGGAUCCACUGCCUGUGAAAAGCACGGG